AAAAGCGAAAAUGCCAACAAACGGCCCGCAUGUUCCCGAGCAUCCUCGGCUCCUGCCUCACUAGCUGCAGAGCCUCUCCCGCUCGGUCCACGCUGCCGGGCGGCCACGACCGUGACCCUUCCCCUCGGGCUGCCCAGAUCCAUGCCUCGUCCCACGGGACACCAGUUCCCUGGCGUGUGCAGACCCCCUGGCGCCUACCAUGCUGUACGUCGGUGACCCCGCACGGCACCUCGCCACGGCCCAGUUCAAUCUGCUGAGCAGCACCAUGGACCAGAUGAGCAGCCGCGCGGCCUCGGCCAGUCCCUACACCCCAGAGCACGCCGCCAGCGUGCCCACCCACUCGCCCUACGCACAGCCCAGCUCCACCUUCGACACCAUGUCGCCGGCGCCUGUCAUCCCCUCCAACACCGACUACCCCGGCCCCCACCACUUCGAGGUCACUUUCCAGCAGUCCAGCACGGCCAAGUCAGCCACCUGGACGUACUCCCCGCUCUUGAAGAAACUCUACUGCCAGAUCGCCAAGACAUGCCCCAUCCAGAUCAAGGUGUCCACCCCGCCACCCCCAGGCACCGCCAUCCGGGCCAUGCCUGUUUACAAGAAAGCGGAGCACGUGACCGACGUCGUGAAACGCUGCCCCAACCAUGAGCUCGGGAGGGACUUCAACGAAGGACAGUCUGCUCCAGCCAGCCACCUCAUCCGCGUGGAAGGCAAUAAUCUCUCGCAGUAUGUGGAUGACCCUGUCACGGGCAGGCAGAGCGUCGUGGUGCCCUAUGAGCCACCACAGGUGGGGACGGAAUUCACCACCAUCCUGUACAACUUCAUGUGUAACAGCAGCUGUGUAGGGGGCAUGAACCGGCGGCCCAUCCUCAUCAUCAUCACCCUGGAGAUGCGGGAUGGGCAGGUGCUGGGCCGCCGGUCCUUUGAGGGCCGCAUCUGCGCCUGUCCUGGCCGCGACCGAAAAGCCGAUGAGGACCACUACCGGGAGCAGCAGGCCCUGAACGAAAGCUCCGCCAAGAACGGGGCCGCCAGCAAGCGUGCCUUCAAGCAGAGCCCCCCUGCCGUCCCCGCCCUUGGCGCCGGCGUGAAGAAGCGGCGGCAUGGAGACGAGGACACGUACUACCUGCAGGUGCGAGGCCGGGAGAACUUUGAGAUCCUGAUGAAGCUGAAAGAGAGCCUGGAGCUGAUGGAGUUGGUGCCGCAGCCACUGGUGGACUCCUAUCGGCAGCAGCAGCAGCUCCUACAGAGGCCGUGAGUCAACCCUAGCCCACCAUCAGUGUGGGGAAGGAGGACAUGGCUUAACCCCCCAGGAGAAGGCCAGGAGGACCAGAAACCCCUCUAGAAGGCAUCAUCUGCCAGGGACAGGCAGCAGGGUCCAGAGCAGAGCCCACCCCACAUCUCCUCCUCCAGGAAGCCUUCUAGCACUUGGGGCUGCCCCAGGACCCUGGGUCACGGCCCUUGCUAUGCCUCUGCCACUGAGGGGCCUUGUCAAUGUCUGCUGAGUGGAAAGGCCAGGAGGGGUGGCCAGAGUGACCAUGACCCACCAAGACCAGA
rnacentral:sRNA from 1 species